rnacentral:rRNA from 1 species
GUGGGGAAUAUUGCACAAUGGGCGAAAGCCUGAUGCAGCAACGCCGCGUGAGUGAUGAAGGUCUUCGGAUUGUAAAACUCUGUCUUUUGGGACGAUAAUGACGGUACCAAAGGAGGAAGCCACGGCUAACUACGUGCCAGCAGCCGCGGUAAUACGUAGGUGGCGAGCGUUGUCCGGAUUUACUGGGCGUAAAGGGUGCGUAGGCGGAUGUUUAAGUGAGAUGUGAAAUACCCGGGCUUAACUUGGGUGCUGCAUUUCAAACUGGAUAUCUAGAGUGCAGGAGAGGAGAAUGGAAUUCCUAGUGUAGCGGUGAAAUGCGUAGAGAUUAGGAAGAACACCAGUGGCGAAGGCGAUUCUCUGGACUGUAACUGACGCUGAGGCACGAAAGCGUGGGUAGCAAACAGGAUUAGAAACCCCUGUAGUCC